rnacentral:rRNA from 1 species
CGCCUUGCCAGCCCGCUCAGAAACUUAAAGGAAUUGACGGGGCCCGCACAAGCGGUGGAGUAUGUGGUUUAAUUCGAUGCAACGCGAAGAACCUUACCUGGUCUUGACAUCCCGGAGACCCUUAGGAAACUAGGGGGUGCUUCCAUCUGGAAGAAUCUGGAGACAGGUGCUGCAUGGCUGUCGUCAGCUCGUGUCGUGAGAUGUUGGGUUAAGUCCCGCAACGAGCGCAACCCUUGCCUUUAGUUGCCAGCAGUUCGGCUGGACACUCUAAAGGGACUGCCGGUGUUAAACCGGAGGAAGGUGGGGAUGACGUCAAGUCCUCAUGGCCUUUAUGACCAGGGCUACACACGUACUACAAUGGCCGAUACAAAGGGCAGCGACACUGCGAGGUGAAGCCAAUCCCGUAAAAUCGGUCUCAGUCCGGAUUGGAGUCUGCAACUCGACUCCAUGAAGUUGGAAUCGCUAGUAAUCGUGGAUCAGCAUGCCACGGUGAAUACGUUCCCGGGCCUU